UCCCUAAAUUCACCUUGUAGGACCUCAUCCCGUUUUUUACCUAUAUCAUUGGUACCUAUGUGCACCACGACCACUGGCUGUUCACCCUCCCAUUCCAGAAUGUCCUGCAGCCACUCAGAGACAUCCUUGACCCUUGCACCAGGGAGGCAACAUACCAUCCUGGAGUCUGGUUUGCGGCCGCAGGAACGCCUAUCUAUUCCCCUUACAAUCGAAUCCCCUAUCACUAUAGCUCUCCCACUCCUUUUCCUUCCCUCCUGUGCUGUAGAGCCACCCAUGGUGCAAUGAACUCGGCUGCUGCUGCCUUCCCCUGAUGAGACAUCUUCCCCCAACAGUAUCCAAAACAGUAUACCUGUUUAGGAGGAAGAUGACCCCAGGGGACUCCUGCACUACCUGCCUACUGCUACACUGUCUAGUGGCCACCCCUUCCCUUUCUGCCGGUUUAGCCUUUACCUGCGGUGUGGCCAACUCACUGAACGUGCUAUUCACGACUUUCUCAGCAUCGCGGAUGCUCCACUAUGAAUCCAAUCGCAGCUUCAGAUGCUCAAUACAGUCUGCCAGAAGCUGCAGUUGGACACACUUCCUGCACACAUAGUCAUCGGGGACACUGGAAGUAUCCCUGAUUUCUCACAUGCUGCAGGAUGAACAAACCACGGGGCCGAUCUCAGCUGCCAUGACCUACCCAAUACUUGCCUCAACUUUUGAAACUUUCUCCUUUGAAAGGAACUUACCCGGCCUUACCUCACUUGGAGUGAAGCUCGUCCUCCGCCUCUUCUCGUCGAAGCUCUGAAGUCAAAGCCUCAAAUCUCCACUCCUUCACUGGCCACUUUCCACAGGCCGCUCCGCUUGAGGUAUUCCAUUGCCCUCCCCCCUCAACAACUGUGAGCCUCCAGAGUGUUACAGACACACACUCCAGUACAAUUUUCUUUUCAACUGUAAUGAACUCAAUCAGUCUGAAAACUAUUGCGUUCCAUCAAGGGUGAGAUGUGGAACAAAGCAGAAUUAAGAUUCUAGCAAUCCACCAACAUGAGGAGCAAUUUAUAGCAGAAAAAGUGUUUUCCAAGGAAAUCUACACAGUAACCAGGAGAAUGUGCAAGGUCCACCUGAAUAACAUGGGAGG